UACGUAGGGUGCGAGCGUUAAUCGGAAUUACUGGGCGUAAAGCGUGCGCAGGCGGCUUUGCAAGACAGAUGUGAAAUCCCCGGGCUUAACCUGGGAACUGCAUUUGUGACUGCAUGGCUGGAGUGCGGCAGAGGGGGAUGGAAUUCCGCGUGUAGCAGUGAAAUGCGUAGAGAUGUGGAGGAAUACCGAUGGCGAAGGCAGCCCCCUGGGAUAACACUGACGCUCAUGCACGAAAGCGUGGGGAGCAAACAGG
rnacentral:rRNA from 1 species